CCUACGGGGGGCAGCAGUGAGGAAUAUUGGUCAAUGGACGAGAGUCUGAACCAGCCAAGUAGCGUGAAGGAUGACUGCCCUAUGGGUUGUAAACUUCUUUUAUAUGGGAAUAACAUGUUCCACGUGUGGGAUUUUGUAUGUACCAUAUGAAUAAGGAUCGGCUAACUCCGUGCCAGCAGCCGCGGUAAUACGGAGGAUCCGAGCGUUAUCCGGAUUUAUUGGGUUUAAAGGGAGCGUAGGUGGAUUGUUAAGUCAGUUGUGAAAGUUUGCGGCUCAACCGUAAAAUUGCAGUUGAAACUGGCAGUCUUGAGUACAGUAGAGGUGGGCGGAAUUCGUGGUGUAGCGGUGAAAUGCUUAGAUAUCACGAAGAACUCCGAUUGCGAAGGCAGUUCACUGGACUGCAACUGACACUGAGGCUCGAAAGUGUGGGUAUCAAACAGGAUUAGAUACCCCAGUAGUC
rnacentral:rRNA from 1 species